GUAAUUUUUAGCUUUAGAAUUUCUUCGAAUGGGGAAGUACAAGGGAUGUUUUAAUGUACAUUCAGCUAAUUUCUUUACAUAUAUACAGAUUUUUUAAAAUGGUGAAAACAUAGAGGACCAUAUACUGACUAGAGCUGAGCUGCAACCCUACCAUGAAGGCAAUUGCUUUGAUCCUCCUCGUUGGAGUUUCCAUUUUUGUUCUAAUCACAGACGAAGCAAUGAUAUGGAGUGACAAUUGUCGUCGAACAGGAGCUGGACGAGACUAUAUAGGGACGCAGAAUAUUACAGACAAUAACGAAACUUGUCUGCCUUGGGCAGAUUAUGGUGGUUAUUUUGGAGUCAGUGAUAUUAAUUUCAUCUAUGACGGCUCUAUGGCAAAUGCUUCUAAUUAUUGCCGGAACCCUGACUCGGACAUUGGUGGCCCGUGGUGCCCAGUAACUAACGCCACACGAGGAACGUGUACCAUUCCUC